GUCCAAAAAGCAUGACCUGAGGCUUCUCCUCGCGAUCAGAUCUGAGCAGGGGGAGCCCCAGCGCCGGCCCCGGGAGGGUUCCCUAUAAAGGUCCCGCGGCGUGCGCGGGGCCGGCAGACGUGGCACCGCGGGGCCGGCGGCCGGGGCGCGCAAGCAUCUCCGCAGGUACGUGCGGCUGCGCUUCCGCGCUCCCGGUAUUUUCGGCGCGUGCCUUUGUGUUUAGCCAACCCAUCUGUACCGAAGCGGGAGGUUAUUUUUGUCCGUACGUGUAUGCUAAAUGAAUGCCGUCAAAGUUUUGGGUCGUUUGUUGUUGGGUUGGUUGUUUGGUUGUUUUUUUUUUUCUUUUAUGGCAGCAUUUGCACGUUUCUAGUACAAACCGCAGCAGAGACUGACUUGUGCUGUUUGCAGCAAGAUCUCGAUUUAGGAGACUAAAAGCACUGAGAGUUUAUGAAAAUAAACAAAACCAUGGAAUUGAUCCAUGCUACAGUAAUCCUGUAAAAAUAUACUUAAUUAAAACAACUAAAAUCAAAACCUCUGCAAGCCAAAACGUUGCAAAUCCAAAUUGCCUGGAACAGCCAGCUGAAGGGAGAAUGAUACUUUGGCUCCAUUAUAAAAGAAACUUGUUCAAGGAGAAAAGUUAAAGUUUGAAAUUAUCGCUAAAACUGAAGCUCUGGAAUUCGGAACAUUCUUUCUGAUUGCUUCUUGGUAUUACAGAAAAAAAAAAAAAAAAAAAAAAAAAUGAACACCCACACCCAAACCACAAAA